rnacentral:rRNA from 1 species
AAUCCAUAGGUUAAUGAGGCGAACCGGGGGAACUGAAACAUCUAAGUACCCCGAGGAAAAGAAAUCAACCGAGAUUCCCCCAGUAGCGGCGAGCGAACGGGGAGGAGCCCAGAGCCUGAAUCAGCAUGUGUGUUAGUGGAAGCGUCUGGAAAGGCGCGCGAUACAGGGUGACAGCCCCGUACACAAAAGCGCAUGUGCUGUGAGCUCGAUGAGUAGGGCGGGACACGUGGUAUCCUGUCUGAAUAUGGGGGGACCAUCCUCCAAGGCUAAAUACUCCUGACUGACCGAUAGUGAACCAGUACCGUGAGGGAAAGGCGAAAAGAACCCCGGCGAGGGGAGUGAAAAAGAACCUGAAACCGUGUACGUACAAGCAGUGGGAGCACCCUUUGGGUGUGACUGCGUACCUUUUGUAUAAUGGGUCAGCGACUUAUAUUCUGUAGCAAGGUUAACCGAAUAGGGGAGCCGGAGGGAAACCGAGUCU